rnacentral:rRNA from 1 species
GUAAAGAGCGUGUAGGCGGCUUGGUAAGUCGGAUGUGAAAGUCCCGGGCUUAACCCGGGAAGUGCAUUCGAAACUGCUUGGCUCGAGUAAGAGAGAGGAAAGUGGAAUUCCUGGUGUAGAGGUGAAAUUCGUAGAUAUCAGGAGGAACACCGGUGGCGAAGGCGACUUUCUGGCUCUAUACUGACGCUGAGACGCGAAAGCGUGGGUAGCAAACAGGAUUAGAUACCCUGGUAGUCCACGCUGUAAACGAUGUUCACUAGGUGUUGGGGGUAUUGACCCCCUCAGUGCCGCAGCUAACGCAUUAAGUGAACCGCCUGGGGAGUACGGUCGCAAGACUAAAACUCAAAGGAAUUGACGGGGGCCCGCACAAGCGGUGGAGCAUGUGGUUUAAUUCGAUGCAACGCGAAGAACCUUACCUGGACUUGACAUCCCAGGAAUCCCCUGGAAACAGGGGGAGUGCCCUUCGGGGAACCUGGUGACGGGUGCUGCACGGCUGUCGUCAGCUCGUGUCGUGAGAUGUUGGGUUAAGUCCCGC